AAAUUGAAGAGUUUGAUCAUGGCUCAGAUUGAACGCUGGCGGCAGGCCUAACACAUGCAAGUCGAACGGUAACAGGAAGCAGCUUGCUGCUUUGCUGACGAGUGGCGGACGGGUGAGUAAUGUCUGGGAAACUGCCUGAUGGAGGGGGAUAACUACUGGAAACGGUGGCUAAUACCGCAUAACGUCGCAAGACCAAAGAGGGGGACCUUCGGGCCUCUUGCCAUCAGAUGUGCCCAGAUGGGAUUAGCUAGUUGGUGAGGUAACGGCUCACCAAGGCGACGAUCCCUAGCUGGUCUGAGAGGAUGACCAGCCACACUGGAACUGAGACACGGUCCAGACUCCUACGGGAGGCAGCAGUGGGGAAUAUUGCACAAUGGGCGCAAGCCUGAUGCAGCCAUGCCGCGUGUAUGAAGAA
rnacentral:rRNA from 1 species